rnacentral:rRNA from 1 species
GACGAACGCUGGCGGCGUGCUUAACACAUGCAAGUCGAACGGAAAGGCCCUGCUUUUGUGGGGUGCUCGAGUGGCGAACGGGUGAGUAACACGUGAGUAACCUGCCCUUGACUUUGGGAUAACUUCAGGAAACUGGGGCUAAUACCGGAUAGGAGCUCCUGCUGCAUGGUGGGGGUUGGAAAGUUUCGGCGGUUGGGGAUGGACUCGCGGCUUAUCAGCUUGUUGGUGGGGUAGUGGCUUACCAAGGCUUUGACGGGUAGCCGGCCUGAGAGGGUGACCGGCCACAUGGGGAAGGAGGUACGGCCAGGACGCCUACGGGAGGCAGCAGUGGGGAAUACGGCAUGAUGGGCGGAAGCCUGAGGCAGCAACUCCGCGGGCGGGAUGACGGCCUGCGGGUUGUAAACCGCUUUCGCCGGUGACGAAGCGUGAGUGACGGUAAUGGGUAAAGAAGCAAGGGCUAACGACGUG